UGGGGAAUUUUGGACAAUGGGCGAAAGCCUGAUCCAGCAAUGCCGCGUGUGUGAAGAAGGCCUUCGGGUUGUAAAGCACUUUUGUCCGGAAAGAAAUCCUUGGCUCUAAUACAGUCGGGGGAUGACGGUACCGGAAGAAUAAGCACCGGCUAACUACGUGCCAGCAGCCGCGGUAAUACGUAGGGUGCAAGCGUUAAUCGGAAUUACUGGGCGUAAAGCGUGCGCAGGCGGUUUGCUAAGACCGAUGUGAAAUCCCCGGGCUCAACCUGGGAACUGCAUUGGUGACUGGCAGGCUAGAGUAUGGCAGAGGGGGGUAGAAUUCCACGUNUAGCAGUGAAAUGCGUAGAGAUGUGGAGGAAUACCGAUGGCGAAGGCAGCCCCCUGGGCCAAUACUGACGCUCAUGCACGAAAGCGUGGGGAGCAAACAGGAUUAGAUACCCUGGUAGUCCACGCCCUAAAACGAUGUCAACUAGUUGUUGGGGAUUC
rnacentral:rRNA from 1 species